rnacentral:rRNA from 1 species
UACGGAGGGAGCUAGCGUUGUUCGGAAUUACUGGGCGUAAAGCGCACGUAGGCGGCUUUGUAAGUUAGAGGUGAAAGCCCGGGGCUCAACCCCGGAAUUGCCUUUAAGACUGCAUCGCUUGAAUCCGGGAGAGGUGAGUGGAAUUCCGAGUGUAGAGGUGAAAUUCGUAGAUAUUCGGAAGAACACCAGUGGCGAAGGCGACUCACUGGACACGUAUUGACGCUGAGGUGCGAAAGCGUGGGGAGCAAACAGG